rnacentral:lncRNA from 9 species
UUUUUUUUUUUUUUUUUUUUUUUGUCUUUUUGCCAUUUCUUGGGCCGCUCUCGCGGCAUAUGGAGGUUCCCAGGCUAGGGGUUAAUCGGAGCCGUAGCCACCAGCCUACGCCAGAGCCACAGCAAUGCGGGAUCCAAGCGCAUCUGCGACCUACACCACAGCUCACGGCAACGCCGGAUCUUAACCCACUGAGCAAGGGCAGGGAUCAAACCCCACCUCAUGGUUCCUAGUCGGAUUCGUUAACCACUGCGCCACCACGGGAACUCCUAUUAUAAUCUUUAGGCCAGUGGUCCACAACUACAUUUGCCCAUGGGAAUCACCUGGGGACUUUAAAAUACUGAUGCCUUGACCUCCAUCCCCAGAGCUUCUGUGUCUGAGAUUGAGUGCAUGCACCAAGAUGUUUAAAAGCCCCCAGGUGAUUCUUCUGUGUGGCCUGGGUUGAGUCACUGCUGUAGGCUCACAAAGCACACCAUUUGCACCUCUCCUAUGAUACUUAGUUUAUAUCUGCCUCGCUUUCCCAAGUCUGUACACUAAUUGCCCUCUCUUAUCUCUCACCAGAUUUUAAGCUUCUUAAAGCAGGUACCAAAUCAUAUUCCCCUUUCAUUCCCUAUAAUGCCCGUGAUAGGUGCCUAUACUUAGGAGGAAGAGUAUUGUGAUUUAUAAUAAGAAAUAUAUAAAUGUGGUCUCUGUCCCCGUUCCUCAUACAGAACAUCCCUCGUUUCUAGUGUGGACCUCUAAAACCCUUGGGAUUUCCUAAGUGAGGAGAAUGAAAAGGUGUCUUUUGUUAUGUUAAUGAGGUGACUUUUGGAAAGCCCUUAGGUCACCUAAGGUUGGGGACUGACUGCCAGGGGGGCCUGCCAUCUGAUUACACAGUUGGAACUUUUAGUCCCACUCCCCAACCUCUGGGAGGGGAAGAGAAGGUGGAGGUUGAAUCUAUCACCAAUGGCCAUGAUUUAAUUAAUCAUGACUAUGUCAGGAAGCCUCAAUAAAAACUCAAAAAGGCAAGGUUAAGAGAGCUUUCGGGUUGGUGAACACGUGGAGGUUCUGGGAGAGUGACGUGCUGGAGAAGUGCAUGGAAACUCUGUGCCCUUUCCCCAUAGCUUGCUCUAUUACAUGACAUGUGGCUCUUCCUGAGUUAUGGCCUUUUCUAAUACACCAGUAAUCCAUUAAGCACACUGUUUCUCUGUGCUCUGUGAGGGGCUCUAGCAAAUUAAUGGAAUCCAAGGAGAGGAGCUGUUGGAACCCAGAAUCUAAGCCCCACUGGCCAGAAGUGUAGGUGACAAUCUGGACGUGUUUGGCUUCUGAAGUGUUGUGUGACUGUAGUGUGAGAGUAAAGGAGAAACAGAGGAGGAAGACUAAGAUUUUUCUAAAUAGGAGGGGAGCAGUAAAAGUUUGUGGAAUGAGAGAAUGAGGAUACCACUGGAGUGGAUUUAAAUCUCAACAACCAUGAGUGCAUUGGGCCAAGAGACAUUUCAGAAAACUCAGAACCACAGGAUGAAACAAGACACUGAAUAAGAGCAUUUUAAAAAAUUGCAGCCAGGAACAAGUUGGCCCUUUGAGCACUGGGGACGUCAAAGAAGAGCUUUUAAAUGACACAGAUCCACCAGAGGAGAACAGCAGCUACAAAUCAAAGGGAGCUCUUUAGGCACCUAGCAUGGAAGAAACUCUGGGCCAUCAAGUAUUUAACUGGAGCACAGCAUGUCAGACGGUCAGCACCACGGACAGAGGCAUUUGGAAGGCAGGCAUCAAGGAGGCACAAAAGGAACCACAGGAGGAGUGUAACCACAGGGGGGACUCUGACGCAGCCCCCAAAUUACCACUCAAAUUAUUUUAUUUUAUUCAAAACAAAAAUGCAACACAAAGGAAAUGUUAGCUACUCUUGAGAAGAGUGCCUAACAUUAAGCUCUUGUAGUAAUGACACUUUUCCACUAUGAGCAUAUGCUAUUGAAAUGACAAAUCUAAUGUAAAAAAACUUUAUUGUUUCCAGCCUUGUUAUGAAAUUUCAAGUUCAUUUUAAAAAGCGUUUUUAAAAGCAAAUGUUCAUAAAAUACUUAUUUUAGUAGACCCUGAGGAUGCAACGGAAAAAAAAAGUUCAAAUACAAUAAGACAAUAUAAAAGAAUAUUAAAUCUAAAUGGACCAACUCUCACAUUGCAAAAUUAUGGUUCUAGUUUAUGGUGGAUGUUGAGUACGAGGUUCACUUAUUAGCAUACUAGACACCCCAAGAGGCAAGACAAUGGUAACAAAGGAGUUUUGAACUCUGCCUGUGUACCAGAAGCUUCUAGGGACUUCUCAAUAAUUUCAUUUAAUCCUCAUUAAUGCCCCCCUCCUACAGGUUGAUAUUUAUAUCUUCAUUUUGCACAUGCAGAUACCGAGUGUCAAGAGAGGAUGAGCAACUCGUCUGAGAUCACACAGCUGCUAAGGAACAAAGCUGGCAUUUGGUCCAUCUGCCUGACUCUGAAGUUUGCUUUUUUUUUUUUUUUAACCACUCUGCCGUGUUUCUAGACCUGGGCAAUGCACACCAUUUUAAUCAACAGCAAAUUUAAUAUUUCCUUUACCCACUAUUUGCUAAAGGUACUACAAUCCAUAAUAUCACACAGAUAUUCAGAACUAAACUGUAGUUCAUGAAAAUCAUUUUUAUUUAAGCCAGUAUUGAAACUAUCUCAUAAUCAAAUAACCAGUCCUGCUGAAUGUAAAAACAGUAAUCCAACCAGAUUUAUAUGUGGUUUAAUAACCAAAAGCAUCCUGAAGUAAAGCCUCAUUAAAGCCACAGUUUGUUUACCUACCAGUUACAUACUUGUAUUUAUCACCAUUAUUUAUACAUGUUCUCACCAAUACAGGCUAGUUAGCAUAGAAACUUGAAUAUGACUUUUAAGAAUGUAAAACUAUUUAAAGUGGACCAAAUGAUAAGGAAUAACUGAGAUUUUAAUGUGGAAAAACUAAAAUAUUAGAAAGUGUAUUUUAAUAUCUAAAAUAAAAUGUUUUCAUUUUCCUCUUUCCAAAAAGCAUAAGAUCACAUUUUAAACUGUGUGUUAUAAGGAAAACUACGUGGAUUAUCUGGGUAGGUCCAGUUCACAUACACGACUUUCUCCAGCUAGAGGCAAAGAUACUGCAAAAGAGCAAGCCAAAUGGACUCUAAAUGUGAGAAGAAUUGAAAGCUUUUAUUGUUUCUGGGGUGGAGAGGAUCGCAUGAUAGAAAGGACCUUGUGCCAGAACUUAAAAGAGCUCUAGGAGCUAAGAGUGGCCCCCAGCUGACAGCCAUCAAGGAGGCACAGUCCAACAACCACGAGAAACUGGAUUCAAUCAACAACCAGAAAGUGCUUGAAAGCAGAAAGGAACACAGCCCUGCCAACACCUUGAUUUUGUUCUUGUAAGACUUUAAGUGGAGGACCCAGCUGAGGCCUGCUGUACCAGGACUCCUGAUCUACAGGGCUCUGAGAUAAUAAAUGAAUGUUUUAAGCCACUAAAUUCGUGGCAAUUUGUUAGAGGCAGCAAUAGAAGACAAAUAUUGUAUAUAUUGUAUAUAUACAUUAUAGUUAACACUGCUUAAUUUGGGUUAGGGUGGUUCAUGGUUUGGUGGCCCCAUUUUGGUCACCCCCUCAUCUUUAUUUUAGGCUGUCUGGCCACAUGGUACAUGUGCUAAUUGGUUUUUCAAUCACUGUCAUGUUUUCAGAUCAAAAGAUAAACUUAGUAAUUUAGAGGGGCUCAUUCACAAAGCACCUCAUUACUGUCAACACUUAGUUCAUUCUCAUUCUCACAAAACUCUCUGGGAAAAACUUCAUCAUUUGGCUUUUUCUAAAUGCCUCUCCAUCCUUGUAAGAGGCUUAAGCCUCUUUUGCUGCUUUAAGCACUUAAGGGACAUACAAUCCUGCACUACACCCCAGAACCGAGGAACAAUUAACCUGGAUUUAUAAGUGGAACAAGAGGUUGGUAGGUCUCUGAUGCAGAAACAACCAGUCAAUUCUGGAUAGUGACUCAAUUUAUGUUAUUUUAACAUCUAAAAUAAAAUGAGUUUUUAAGUUUUAAUAAAAUGACCUUAAAACUCUUGCACAGCCCUGCCAACACCAAAGAACACCAACACCAAUAAUAAAAACAGAAAAAAAUCUGCCAAUUUUCCACUGAUCAAAAAAUUCCAGUUUUUCUUCCCACCUGCCACAAAUUCCUAUACUAGGUAUGUGGCGAGAGAAUCUAUUAAGGUAUGAAUUUAUAUUCUUAUUCCUGCUACUGCAAUAUGAUCUGGGAAAAAUAAGGCAAAAUUUCCCCCCUUCUUCAAGAUAAGACAAAGUCUUGAAUCCUUUUUUUUUAAAUUGUUUAUUUGGACUUAUUUAAUAUAAAAAUAUAACUUUUGUAUAUUGAACUUGCAUAUAAUGACAAUUAAAUUCAUCUAUAAAUUCUAAUGAUAUGUUUCUGUUAACUUUUGGAAUUUCUCUGUACAACAUUACGUCAUUUGGAAUAUGUCAUAUGUCAUCAGGUUUGUUUUUUUUUAAGUCUUGAGUUUGGCAUUGGUAGUAUAGUGGUGAGCACAGUUGCCUUGCAAAGUCUUGAGUUCUGAUUUCAGGGCUUCUAGCAAUGGUCGGUUUAGGACUUGAGAAAAAAAAUUGCCAGACACUUGAAAAAUAACCCUACCCAGGCUUUGAAGUUUGUACUAGACAAAGGGAUUGAUGCGGCUUUGAGUUUAGAUGGUUAAAAUAACCUGGAAAUUAAGAGAGACUGGAGUGGUAGAACCUCCACACUCCCCACAGUCAUCCUACUGACUGUUCAGGAUGUCUGAUAGGAUGGCCUGGGAUGCUGGAGCCUGAAUGACAAGGAGCCUUGGUCGACAUGAAGAAGGCUGCCAAUGCCCCCUACAUCCGUUACAGGGGGAACUCAGACUCCUGUCUUGCAGCAGACCAACCAUAGGGCACAUCUCAGCAGUGACCAUAAUGCCCUAUGGAGUUGGAGGUCCUUCCCCGAUUCCUUGGCCCACUUUCAGGUAAAGACCUCCAGUAGUGACUGAUAUUGGGUAGCAGGUUACACUAGCCAAGAGAAGCUAAAACAGAGGUGUAAUCAGAUAUAGAAACCUACAGCAACGUGAUGUUUGUAUAAACAACUGCUCCAGAGAAAAUUCAUUCCAAUUAUAUGUGUCUGUGUGGAUGGGUACGCGGAGAGAGCAGGUGAAAGGAAUCCAAGAAAGCAGCUAUAAAAAGAAAGGAAAGUGGAAAAAGUCCUGCUCCCUUUUUCUUGAGGUUUUCUUGGUCAUUUGUGCUUGAUGACAUCCAUGGGUAUUUACCAGGAACAAGCAAGACGGCAGAGAAGCCUGGAGGAGGACACAGGAGGGGGAACUGCUUCCACGCCUCUGAUAGAAAACACAACCAGUGCCCCACUGGUUCAUAAUGUGUAUGCAUUCCUUUGGGGUCAGCCAAUUCAGCUUGCUGUAGACAACUUAUGAUGUGUUAUUUGAACAUGUGGCUUUCUGCUUUAUUCUUGUGACAAAGUCCAAAUCAGUGCUUAGGAACUAUCAUGAUUCUCAAGGAGGAGACAGUGUAACUAAGCAGGGACCUUUCUCUGUCCCCCAUUUCUUGUUUUUAGGAAUUGGGCCUCAUUCAGCCUCCAUGGCCUUCCCUGAGUUCCAAGGGGCAGGUUCAGACAGUUGCUGAUCAAGGAAGGGAGGGGAUGCAAAGACAAAAGAGGAGUCAGGCAAUGAUGGUAGUCUUGCGGCAGGAUCCUGGUCCCCUCUCAAGGGAUACACAUAAUGAUGUAGGCAUCUUAUACACUUAAGAGAAAAGUUAUAGUCCUUAUGCUUCUUUUAGAAAUGAAUAACUUCAAAGUGAAUACUUUAAAGUUGAACAGCUUGGAGCCCUUCCUUGUGAUUCUCCUCUCUUUGACUACACCCUAAACACAAUCACCUGUGAGCUAAAGAGUAGGCACUCUGAGCACAAUGGCCUGUGGGUCAAAGAUUAUAAACAGCUGAUGUUUUUCAGGAACCUUCCUAGUUUGUUCUAAUCUCUGAUCAAUAUGCCCUUUUCACAAGUACUGUUAUUCUAGGAAAUAACCCAGAAGACCACCACCAGGAUCACACUGAAAUUGCCUGACACCAGCUUCAAUGACUAAGACUCCCCCCCUCAAAAGAAAGAAGAAUGCGCACCUGCCCAAUCCUGAUUCUAACCUGAAACCCUGUUUUUCUCCUUUUAGACUAUAAAACUCCCUGCAGUUCUUCCCCAAAGGAGGGCACAGUUUUUAAGCCAUUAGCCUUCUGUGGCCUCCUUUGCCUGGCAAAGCAGUAAAAGCUAUUUUUUUCUCCUUCACCCAAAACUCUGUCUCCACGUUUCUAUUCGGCAACGGCGGACAGAGGCUGAGUUUUGGCAACAACAGGAGCUGACACUAAACACAAUGACAUUUUCCAACUUCUAAUAUCUAUGAUAAUUUCAGUGAUGAUAUGCUGCUUGCAAUAAGUCAGCUGCUUACUUUGCAUUAAAUCUCUCCUUUCUCUCUCUCCCUCUCUCUGUCUCUCUCUCUCUCUCUCUCACAUACACACACACACACACAGAGCUGCAAGAAAAUUAAGCCCAUGAAGAUACUUUAUUAGUGGAAAGUCACAGCUCACUUAACUUUCAAAAGUCAGGCAAUUUGAAGUUCCUUCUGCAACUUUAUCUCAUCUCUACCACAUAAGCACACAGUGAAGCAUGAAACCAAAUAUGCAAACGGAAUAUCUUUGCACAAAGAGAUACAUUCUUACAGCGAUGAUUUUGCCAUGCCUUGCUCUGUAUCUUUAAAACGAUUUCCACCAGAGUCGUAUUCUCACCCAUCUGUCUUCCACAUGAGCUCCUUCCAUAUUUAAAACCAACACUGGGCUUAAAAGGUGCAUUUCAUGCUACUAAGAGAGUCAGGGCAGAAAAAGAAUGGCAGGAGAAGUCCUCAGAUCCCACUCCCCACAGCCAAGCUGGCCAGUGUCUGCCACAUGCCCUUGAUUGUUUCCAACUCUGUCCCUUUGCAAACACCAUCCACCUGCCUUUAAGAUGCCUUUCCACUUCUCCAACCAUCCCUGUUUGUCACCCCACUCGAAUUCCAUAUCAAAACUCUCCUCCAGAAAGUCCUUUCUGAUUUAACUGUUCCAUCAACUCUUUCGAGAAGUGGGCAGUUAUUAACAGAAUAUCUUACCCAUAUGUAGCUUUAUAAGGAAGUUAAAGUGCAGCAAAUGUUAACUAGAGAGAGGUUGAAUGACUGUUCUCACAGCAAACAUUAUUAGUCUUAGACGAGUCAUAAUAGAGCACAAUUGUAAGUAUGUAGUAGGAAAUAAAUUUUUUGGAGUUUUAUAGGAAGUCUACAGACCACAUAGCCAGGAGACCUCUGCCAAUUUAAUAUGUGGAGCUCUGUAAGAGAAGGAGCAUGGGAUGGAAGAGAUAGCACUGAACUAGGAGUCAGGAGACACGAGACAUUCAAAAUCUUAUGACUUGCUGUUUGCCCAGUGCUCUACACAAUUCCAAUGCAAAUUCCUUGAAAAUCAGGUUUAUGGUCCUCUUCUUCCCAACACACACAUAAUCCAUAUAAUGCAAAAUUGGGUGAUCACCCACAAAUAUCUGGCAUUCCGUAAAUAUUUGUGAACCUAUAUUCAUAUAUGUGACUAGGGCCAGAAACAGUUCUAGUGAUUUUAAAAGGAAAUAGGCAAAUUUAUAAAUUGACGGCCUUCGGAGCCUGGAAGAAUUAUGAAGAUGACUUAGUCCAGAACUUUGAUUUCACAAGUUAUUAGAGGGACAAGCUAAGGUCAGAAUGGCUUGUUCAUGAGCACAGUGUCAGUAAAUGACUCAGGUGGCAGAGAAUUCAGUUUCCUGAGCUAUUGGUCCAGCAUUCCUCUCAAGGCCCCUCUUACAGCAUUUAAGGGGAAAUCUGGUUCAAACACUCAACAUUAUGACAUGAAAACUUUCACACUAUGAAGGCAAACUUCAUAAUGACAUCAUAAUGUUUUGGGUCUGCUGGCAAAACAUUUUGCUUAAUGAUUUUCCUAUAUGGGCUAAACCUUUUGCAUAAUAUUUUAAGACUUGCAUUGUUUAGGAUUAUAUGUGGCUGAAUAUAUCCAGAGAGCCCUAAGUAACAGUGGCUUAAACAAGAAUAACAUUAAUUUUGCUGUCACCUAACAAAGUCCAGCAGCAGCAGGACAGCCAAGCCUGCUAUGGGCCUGUAUCCCUUCUGCUUCACAUCUUUCCCAUAUUACUUUUGGUUUCAAAGUUCUCCUGGAGUUCCAUCCAUCUCCUCUAAACUCAGCCAGCAAGGAGAUGGGACAGAGAAAGGGCACCCUUCCUCUCUCUUAGAAGGUCCCAAACAACAGUACUGUUUACAUCAUCUUAAGUAGAACCUAGUCAUGUGGCCCUACCAGGCUACAAGGGACCCUGAACCAUGUAGUCUUUUUGUCACAGUGGCCACAUGCCCCACUAAUAUCAGGAUUCUGCUACUAGGCAGGAAUAAGGGCAUAAAUAUGAGGAGCUACCAGCAUCCUUCCCCACAAAAUUUCAACUCAACAAUCCCUUAAAUUCAAAUAAUAUUUUAAUAUUACGCAAAUAUUAAAAUGGAGGUAUUAAAUGGAAGGCUAAGAUUUAUGUUGAUCACAUAACAUAAACGAUGACAAACGUUUUAAACUUGUUUGGUAUAUGAGGAAUGUUCUAUUAGAACAUAAUUAUUAGAAUUAUUAGAAUCACAUCUUUGCCUUAUUGAUACUAAGAGUAGU